UGAUCGGCCACAUUGGGACUGAGACACGGCCCAAACUCCUACGGGAGGCAGCAGUAGGGAAUCUUCGGCAAUGGACGCAAGUCUGACCGAGCAACGCCGCGUGAGUGAAGAAGGUUUUCGGAUCGUAAAACUCUGUUGUUAGAGAAGAACAAGGAUGAGAGUAGAAUGUUCAUCCCUUGACGGUAUCUAACCAGAAAGCCACGGCUAACUACGUGCCAGCAGCCGCGGUAAUACGUAGGUGGCAAGCGUUGUCCGGAUUUAUUGGGCGUAAAGCGAGCGCAGGCGGUUUCUUAAGUCUGAUGUGAAAGCCCCCGGCUCAACCGGGGAGGGUCAUUGGAAACUGGGAAACUUGAGUGCAGAAGAGGAGAGUGGAAUUCCAUGUGUAGCGGUGAAAUGCGUAGAUAUAUGGAGGAACACCAGUGG
rnacentral:rRNA from 1 species